ensembl:snRNA U6 U6 spliceosomal RNA
GUGCUGUCCUCAGCAGCACACACAUUAGAACUGGAAGGAUACAGAGAAGAUUAGCUGGGCCUCUGUGUCGACAUGCAAAUUUACGAGGCAUUCCAUGUUAAA